UAAUGUUGAAAAAUUAGCGGAUGACCUGUGGCUGGGGGUGAAAGGCCAAUCAAACCGGGAGAUAGCUGGUUCUCCCCGAAAGCUAUUUAGGUAGCGCCUCGUGAAUUCAUCUCCGGGGGUAGAGCACUGUUUCGGCCAGGGGGCCAUCCCGGCUUACCAAUCCGAUGCAAACUGCGAAUACCGGAGAAUGUUAUCACGGGAGACACACGGCGGGUGCUAACGUCCGUCGUGAAGAGGGAAACAACCCAGACCGCCAGCUAAGGUCCCAAAGUCAUGGUUAAGUGGGAAACGAUGUGGGAAGGCCCAGACAGCCAGGAUGUUGGCUUAGAAGCAGCCAUCAUUUAAAGAAAGCGUAAUAGCUCACUGGUCGAGUCGGCCUGCGCGGAAGAUGUAACGGGGCUAAAC
rnacentral:rRNA from 1 species